ensembl:lncRNA
CGGCGCCAUCAGCAGCGGUAGCACAGCCCCCCCCCACCCAACCCUAUCAUAACAUGGGAUGUAGUCUCAGCAGCGCCGACCCCUGGCACCAUAUCUGCACUCGCAUGGAUUUUCACCCGGGGCUCUCCAAAAUUAAGGCAUUCCGAGCCUGCUUUCUUCCUGUGCCACCCCUGAGUGAUUGCAUAUCACCACAGCUCAGUUUUCCAAGCUUUUGUUGUGGGUUUUUUUUUUUCCCCCUCCUUCAGGAGAGCAAUGGGGAAGGCGCCUGGAACAGGCAGAGGAGGCUGGCUGGGCUCUGCUGCUUCCCAACAGCUCAGUGCAGCUCCCAGAGGAGAUGAAUGAGUUAGUCACUCACUGAGCUCACAGCUGAAGCAUCUCAGCCUCCAUGAGAAUUUGUCACCAGCCCUUCCUGGGCUGCUGAGUACCCAGAAGAAGGGGAGAGACUGGGGAUUUGGGGGAUAUGCUUCCUGUGCUGGCUGACGGCGCGGGCAGCAACCACUGCGAGGUCAUGGGGCUGUUCUUCACCUCAAGGAGCAAGGGUGGCAUGGAGCUCACCAGUGCUUAUGGUCCCAACUGAUUCCCACUGCAUAGGAGUUUGUAUGUUGAGAAAGGGGGCGCCAGGGAGCUUUCUAGGGAUUUCCCUGUGAGAUUCAGGAGCUGGGAGUUUUCCCCAGUUUCCACCCGUCCUUGCAGCAAUGCCUUUUGCUCACAUGCUCCUCCCAGGGUCAUAAGUGGUUCUUAAAAAAAAGCAACAGCCCACACAAUGCUCUUCCCUUCCCUAGCCGGGUGCUGCUGACGAGAUACCUCAUCCGGUCCUGAGGGUACAGAAUUAGCCCUCCACAUGGGAAAGGCCCUGCCAAUCCUGGCCACCAGCUUCAACACCCCAGGGCUACGAGGUCAGCAGCACGUCACUGCUAUGCAUCCUACACGUGUAUCCUCCAGUCCCUUCCAAAGGCCUGAUGCAAGAUGUUGCUAUUCCUACUCUGCUUGUGGGAUUUCUUGGAGGUCACAUUGCUGGUGCUGAUGUCAAGUGAUGUUUUCCUUGACGUGCAAGGUGCUCAAUCACUGCUUCAAGCUGUGACUUAGCAUUUCUGCUACACCACUCAGGAGCACAACUCAACCCAACCAAAAUGGCCACGUCAACCCAACACGAGUGACAACCUAACCCAACACAAGCUAAAUCGUGCAACCAAAUACAACCCAAUCAAAUAUACCUCAGUGAUGCAACCCAAACCAGCCUGAGUGAUGCAGCCCAGCCCAGCUCAACCCAGCUUAACAAAACAAAAUCGUGCACAGCACAGCAUGAUCCAGGAGGACCUUUUAGAGAGGUCCAGGGGAGAAGGAUCCAUGACUGUAGCUCCCCUUGCUGCAAGGCUGUUGCAACAAAACAGCAAUAAGAGCAAAACAACUUGUACCAACCAGGACUGCACCUCUAUGCUGUGAAUGACUGAAAGGUGGCUGAGUGUUGAAGACAUGAGAGUCCAGGUGGAUUUUCUAAUAAUUUAAGUUAAUUUAAGCCUCCUUCCCCUCCUAAUUCUCCCUUUCCAUGGAUAAAGUCACCUCCAAAUGUCUGUCUCUCGCAGUGAUACUGGACAGUGUGUUUCAAGGUGAUUGAAGGACCAGCCAAAGGGGCAGAGCCCAAAUCCCCUUGGGGACUUGCAGUCAGCGCAGAGAGCUGAUCUGCCUGGUGCCAAGGAAUGCAUCACGUACCCAUGAAAACAGGAAUAAAUAAUUAUUUUUUUGACUUGUUUCAAUCUUUUAAAAGUUAAUCUAAUCCUCUGCCUCUUCUUUUUUUGUGUUUUUUUUUCUUUUUUUCUUUUUUUCUGGUUAUUCGAAG